UCAUUCUCGUCUUUCGUCCACUUAAUUUUAGGUUUGUGAACGGUAGCAUUUUCGACAACUUCAGUAGGAUGUUUCCAUCCGAAUUCGAUUGAUUGCCAAACUCGCUCAUGGAUGGCAAUAAGAAAAGCUCUCAUCCGAACUUUUCGAUAAGCAUAGUUUGUACCAUUGAAGAGUGGAGAUCGAUUAAUGUUACCGUCCUCGGCCAUAGUUUACAACCUAUACC
rnacentral:lncRNA from 1 species